GAUGAACGCUGGCGGCGUGCCUAAUACAUGCAAGUCGAGCGAACAGACGAGGAGCUUUCUCCUCUGACGUUAGCGGCUGACGGGUGAGUAACACGUGGAUAACCUACCUAUAAGACUGGGAUAACUUCGUGAAACCGGAGCUAAUACCGGAUAAUAUAUUGAACCGCAUGGUUCAAUAGUGAAAGACGGUUUUGCUGUCACUUAUAGAUGGAUCCGCGCCGCAUUAGCUAGUUGGUAAGGUAACGGCUUACCAAGGCAACGAUGCGUAGCCGACCUGAGAGGGUGAUCGGCCACACUGGAACUGAGACACGGUCCAGACUCCUACGGGAGGCAGCAGUAGGGAAUCUUCCGCAAUGGGCGAAAGCCUGACGGAGCAACGCCGCGUGAGUGAUGAAGGUCUUCGGAUCGUAAAACCCUGUUAUUAGGGAAGAACAAAUGUGUAAGUAACUAUGCACGUCUUGACGGUACCUAAUAAGAAAGCAACGGCUAACUACGUG
rnacentral:rRNA from 1 species